rnacentral:lncRNA from 1 species
CGCGAGAGCCCGGGUGGGCGCGACGCUUCCCCCGCUCCUUUCCUGCUCGCCAUUGCUCCCUUUUGUGAGGCCAUUACGGCCGUCCCCCUGCUCCCUGCCCCGGCGUCCUGGAGCCCAGCCGACCACGAGGGUUUUUCUCCGUGUUGUAUCUUCCCGAAAACCCAGAACCCAAACCCAAGAAAGAACCACUCCUGUUGUCCUCUCUCCCCUCCUCCAGUCCCAAUGACAUUUCCCGGCUUUUGUGUGAGAUGACCCAAAAGCAAGCCCUUCUCCACUCCUCCUCCAUGCAAUGGGGUCCCUAAAAGCUACCCUCACUCCCCUUCUCUCUUACUCACCUGGAGGAAGGGGAAUGGAGAGGAUGGACACCAGAGCCUCCUAUUUCCCAGCAUUUCCACACAGGGAAGACAAGCAUCUCACCGUGCGCACUCCGACAGGAGGGCAGGAGGCGGAAAGGUGGAAUAGCCCAGAAGAGCAGGCUGCUGCCCAGGCCCCUAGGCCACAUCCGAAGGACGUUAAGUCUAGAGCCCCAGGAAGGAAGGCGUCCUGGGUCAGUUUCAUUUCACAUAAACGGACUGUCCCUGGAUCCAGGGAAGCGGAUUCUCCCGUUUCCUCCCUGGUGCCUCAGUCUUUUUGGAGGCGCCCUCUGCUGGCCACUGGGAAGUGCAGGAAAGAACAGAGUCCUGCAGACUCAAAGAGCGUCUACAGAAAGGGACAAGAGGUAGAGACAACCGGGAGCCAACUGAGAGCGGUGGCUGGACUGCCACAAAUAAGAGAGGCAUGCUGAAGCCUUCUUGGAGGCCCCGUUCCAGACCCAGCCAGGGUGAAGAGGACUCCCAGGGGCGGAGAUCGAGGCCCAGGAGAGAACAGAGAGCAUCCUGCUUUAAUUGGAGACCAGAGCUGAUCUGAGUGAACCCACACACACAGGAGCGGCAGUCUUUGGCCCCAGGCCAGACGAAGGCCUGGAGCAGACUGGGGUGGCCCUGCAGGAAAAAAGCAGGUGCCCUGGAGUGGGCAGAACAGGCCUUUUGAGGUUAGGCAGGUGGGAACUGGCCUGAGAAGGACUGGGGAGGUGCAGGGGGCUCUGGAAUGGGAACUCUCCUCUGACGGAUAAUUUCAUCCCUCUCAAGGUCAGUGCCCCCCUCCCCAAGUUAGGGUCCCCAUUCUGAGUCAGUGGGCUCCCUGGGCAGCUCAUCCUAAGGGAAACAGGGCCGAAGGCUAACUUCAUUCACUGCCUCCUGCUUCAGGAAACCAUUCCAAUCACCGGGAAAGGGGCGUCGGAGGCUAGAGCCCCUGCCGGGCCCCCGGGGGCGUGUCGUCGGCCCGACGCGUCGCCGGCCAGCGGCGUGGCGAGGACUCUGGCCGGCAGCCUCCCGCGCCGUCAGGAGCAGCUGACUCGCUGGCGGCGGGCCAGGUCGUGGCGGGGCCGGGAGGCAGCAACGUGCGGCGCGGCAUGUCGCGGGCUCAGCGGCGGGGAAACGUGGGGGCGGGCCCGGCGCGCCGCCCCCCCACCCCACGCAGGCCCAUUCAUAAAACCCGCGGGCGCUGCCGGGCCUGGCAGCCUGGAC